UAAUACGUAGGGGGCAAGCGUUGUCCGGAUUUACUGGGCGUAAAGCGCGCGUAGGCGGAAGCUUAAGUGCGGUCUGAAAGCCCCCGGCUCAACCGGGGAGAGUGGCUGCAAACUGGGCUUCUUGAGGGCGAUAGAGGAGCGUGGAAUUCCUGGUGUAGCGGUGAAAUGCGUAGAUAUCAGGAGGAACACCCAUGGCGAAGGCAGCGCUCUGGCUCGGCCCUGACGCUGAGGCGCGAAAGCGUGGGGAGCGAACGGGAUUAGAUACCCCGGUAGUCCACGCCGUAAACGAUGGUCACUAGGUGUGUGCGGUAUCGACCCCGCACGUGCCGCAGCUAACGCAAUAAGUGACCCGCCUGGGGAGUACGGCCGCAAGGUUG
rnacentral:rRNA from 1 species